rnacentral:rRNA from 2 species
GAUGAACGCUAGCGGCAGGCCUAAUACAUGCAAGUCGAGGGGUAACAUGGUCUCGGACUGAUGACGACCGGCGGACGGGUGCGUAACGCGUAUGCAACCUACCCACUACAGGGGGAUAGCCCGUGGAAACAUGGAUUAAUACCCCAUAAUACAGGGGGCUCACAUGAGUCUAUUGUUAAAGAUUUAUCGUAGUGGAUGGGCAUGCGUCUGAUUAGCUAGUUGGUGGUGUAAUGGACCACCAAGGCGACGAUCAGUAGGGGGGUUCUGAGAGGAUGAUCCCCCACACUGGCACUGAGAUACGGGCCAGACUCCUACGGGAGGCAGCAGUAGGGAAUAUUGGUCAAUGGGCGAGAGCCUGAACCAGCCAUGCCGCGUGCAGGAAGACGGCCUUCUGGGUUGUAAACUGCUUUUAUCAGGGAUGAAAAGACCUUUGCGAAGGGGCAUGACAGUACCUGAGGAAUAAGCACCGGCUAACUACGUGCCAGCAGCCGCGUAAUACGUAGGGUGC